rnacentral:rRNA from 1 species
UUUAGAGUUUGAUUCCAUGGCUCAGAACGAACGCUGGCGGUGCGCCUAACACAUGCAAGUCGAACGCUGUUCGGCAGGCUCACAGUGAAUCUCGAGGAGGGGUUUACCGUGAGCUUGUCGAACGGAGUGGCGAAUGGGUGAGUAACACAUAGGUAACCUACCCUGAGGAUUGGGAUACUCCCGGGAAACCGGGCACAAUACCGAAUAUAAUUCCGAGGUGAAAUGCCUUAGAAUGAAAGCUGUGAGCAAUCGCAGCGCCACAGGAUGGGCCUGUGGCCUAUCAGCUAGUUGGUGAGGUAACGGCUCACCAAGGCUAAGACGGGUAGCCGGACUGGGAGGUCGGUCGGCCACACUGGAACUGAGAUACGGUCCAGACUCCUACGGGAGGCAGCAGUGAGGAAUUUUGCGCAAUGGGCGAAAGCCUGACGCAGCGACACCGCGUGGGGGAAGAAGGCUUUCGAGUUGUAAACCCCUUUCGUGAGGGAAAAAGCCCUGAGUUUAUCGAAGGGUGAUGUACCUCAGGAAGAAGCCACG